rnacentral:rRNA from 1 species
GGUUAAGCGACUAAGCGUACACGGUGGAUGCCCGGCAGUCAGAGGCGAUGAAGGACGUGCUAAUCUGCGAAAAGCGUCGGUAAGGUGAUAUGAACCGUUAUAACCGGCGAUGUCCGAAUGGGGAAACCCAGUGCAAUUCGUUGCACUAUCGUUAACUGAAUACAUAGGUUAACGAGGCGAACCGGGGAACUGAAACAUCUAAGUACCCCGAGGAAAGAAAUCAACCGAGAUUCCCCAGUAGCGGCGAGCGAACGGGAGCAGCCCAGAGUCUGAAUCAGCUUGUGUGUUAGUGGAACGGUCUGGAAAGUCCGACGGUACAGGGUGAUAGUCCCGUACACCAAAAUGCACAGGUUGUGAACUCGAAGAGUAGGGCGGGACACGUGGUAUCCUGUCUGAAUAUGGGGGACCAUCCUCCAAGGCUAAAUACUCCUGACUGACCGAUAGUGAACCAGUACCGUGAGGGAAAGGCGAAAAGAACCCCGGCGAGGGAGUGAAAAGAACCUGAAACCGUGUACGUACAAGCAGUGGGAGCACCUUCGGGUGUGACUGCGUACCUUUGUAUAAUGGGUCAGCGACUUAUAUUCUGUAGCAAGGUUAACCGUAUAGGGAGCCGCAGGGAAACCGAGUCUUAACUGGGCGUUAAGUUGCAGGGUAUAGACCCGAAACCCGGUGAUCUAGCCAUGGGCAGGUUGAAGGUUGGGUAACACUAACUGGAGGACCGAACCGACUAAUGUUGAAAAAUUAGCGGAUGACUUGUGGCUGGGGGUGAAAGGCCAAUCAAACCGGGAGAUAGCUGGUUCUCCCGAAAGCUAUUUAGGUAGCGCCUCGUGAACUCAUCUUCGGGGUAGAGCACUGUUUCGGCUAGGGGGUCAUCCCGACUUACCAACCCGAUGCAAACUACGAAUACCGAAGAAUGUUAUCACGGGAGACACACGGCGGGUGCUAACGUCCGUCGUGAAGAGGGAAACAACCCAGACCGCCAGCUAAGGUCCCAAAGUCAUGGUUAAGUGGGAAGGCACAGACAGCCGUGAUGUUGGCUUAGAAGCAGCCAUCAUUUAAAGAAAGCGUAAUAGCUCACUGGUCGAGUCGGCCUGCGCGGAAGAUGUAACGGGGCUAAACCAUGCACCGAAGCUGCGGCAGCGACACUAUGUGUUGUUGGGUAGGGAGCGUUCUGUAAGCCUGCGAAGGUGUGCUGUGAGGCAUGCUGGAGGUAUCAGAAGUGCGAAUGCUGACAUAAGUAACGAUAAAGCGGGUGAAAAGCCCGCUCGCCGGAAGACCAAGGGUUCCUGUCCAACGUUAAUCGGGGCAGGGUGAGUCGACCCUAAGGCGAGGCCGAAAGGCGUAGUCGAUGGGAAACAGGUUAAUAUUCCUGUACUUGGUGUUACUGCGAAGGGGGACGGAGAAGGCUAUGUUAGCCGGGCGACGGUUGUCCCGGUUUAAGCAUGUAGGCUGGUUAUCCAGCAAAUCCGGAUAAUCAAGGCUGAGGUGUGAUGACGAGGCACUACGGUGCUGAAGUAACAAAUGCCCUGCUUCCAGAAAGCCUCUAAGCAUCAGGUAACAUCAAAUCGUACCCCAAACCGACACAGGUGGUCAGGUAGAGAAUACCAAGGCGCUUGAGAGAACUCGGGUGAAGGAACUAGGCAAAAUGGUGCCGUAACUUCGGGAGAAGGCACGCUGGUGUGUAGGUGAAGUCCCUGCGGAUGGAGCUGAGACCAGUCGAAGAUACCAGCUGGCUGCAACUGUUUAUUAAAAACACAGCACUGUGCAAACACGAAAGUGGACGUAUACGGUGUGACGCCUGCCCGGUGCCGGAAGGUUAAUUGAUGGGGUUAUCCGUAAGGAGAAGCUCUUGAUCGAAGCCCGGUAAACGGCGGCCGUAACUAUAACGGUCCUAAGGUAGCGAAAUUCCUUGUCGGGUAAGUUCCGACCUGCACGAAUGGCGUAAUGAUGGCCGCUGUCUCCACCCGAGACUCAGUGAAAUUGAACUCGCUGUGAAGAUGCAGUGUACCCGCGGCAAGACGGAAAGACCCCGUGAACCUUUACUAUAGCUUGACACUGAACAUUGAGCCUUGAUGUGUAGGAUAGGUGGGAGGCUUUGAAGCGUGGACGCCAGUCUGCGUGGAGCCAACCUUGAAAUACCACCCUUUAAUGUUUGAUGUUCUAACGUUGGCCCCUUACCGGGGUUGCGGACAGUGUCUGGUGGGUAGUUUGACUGGGGCGGUCUCCUCCCAAAGCGUAACGGAGGAGCACGAAGGUUAGCUAAUCUGGUCGGACAUCAGGAGGUUAGUGCAAUGGCAUAAGCUAGCUUGACUGCGAGCGUGACGGCGCGAGCAGGUGCGAAAGCAGGUCAUAGUGAUCCGGUGGUUCUGAAUGGAAGGGCCAUCGCUCAACGGAUAAAAGGUACUCCGGGGAUAACAGGCUGAUACCGCCCAAGAGUUCAUAUCGACGGCGGUGUUUGGCACCUCGAUGUCGGCUCAUCACAUCCCGGGCUGAAGUAGGUCCCAAGGGUAUGGCUGUUCGCCAUUUAAAGUGGUACGCGAGCUGGGUUUAGAACGUCGUGAGACAGUUCGGUCCCUAUCUGCCGUGGGCGCUGGAGAAUUGAGGGGGCUGCUCCUAGUACGAGAGGACCGGAGUGGACGCAUCACUGGUGUUCGGGUUGUCAUGCCAAUGGCACUGCCCGGUAGCUAAAUGCGGAAGAGAUAAGUGCUGAAAGCAUCUAAGCACGAAACUUGCCCCGAGAUGAGUUCUCCCUGAGACUUUAAGUCUCCUGAAGGAACGUUAAAGACGAUGACGUUGAUAGGCCGGGUGUGUAAGCGCAGCGAUGCGUUGAGCUAACCGGUACUAAUGAACCGUGAGGCUUAACCUU